rnacentral:rRNA from 1 species
UGGGGAAUAUUGGACAAUGGGCGAAAGCCUGAUCCAGCCAUGCCGCGUGUGUGAAGAAGGCCUUUUGGUUGUAAAGCACUUUAAGUGGGGAGGAAAAGCUUAUGGUUAAUACCCAUAAGCCCUGACGUUACCCACAGAAUAAGCACCGGCUAACUCUGUGCCAGCAGCCGCGGUAAUACAGAGGGUGCAAGCGUUAAUCGGAAUUACUGGGCGUAAAGCGCGCGUAGGUGGUUAUUUAAGUCAGAUGUGAAAGCCCCGGGCUUAACCUGGGAACUGCAUCUGAUACUGGAUAACUAGAGUAGGUGAGAGGGGAGUAGAAUUCCAGGUGUAGCGGUGAAAUGCGUAGAGAUCUGGAGGAAUACCGAUGGCGUAGGCAGCUCCCUGGCAUCAUACUGACACUGAGGUGCGAAAGCGUGGGUAGCAAACAGGAUUAGAUACCCUGGUAGUCCACGCCGUAAACGAUGUCUACCAGUCGUUGGGUCUUUUAAAGACUUAGUGACGCAGUUAACGCAAUAAGUAGACCGCCUGGGGAGUACGGCCGCAAGGUUA